UGGGGAAUAUUGGACAAUGGGGGCAACCCUGAUCCAGCCAUGCCGCGUGUGUGAAGAAGGCCUUCGGGUUGUAAAGCACUUUAAGUUGGGAGGAAAGGGUUAUGGCUAAUAUCCAUGAUCUGUGACGUUACCAACAGAAUAAGCACCGGCUAACUCCGUGCCAGCAGCCGCGGUAAUACGGAGGGUGCAAGCGUUAAUCGGAAUUACUGGGCGUAAAGCGCGCGUAGGCGGCUCGUUAAGCUAGAUGUGAAAUCCCUGGGCUCAACCUGGGAACUGCAUUUAGAACUGACGAGCUAGAGUGCAGAAGAGGAGUGUGGAAUUUCCGGUGUAGCGGUGAAAUGCGUAGAGAUCGGAAGGAACAUCAGUGGCGAAGGCGACACUCUGGUCUGACACUGACGCU
rnacentral:rRNA from 1 species